AGAGUAUCGCUUGAACCCAGGAGGCAGAGGUUGCAGUGAGCCAAGACUGCGCCAUUGCACUGCAGCCUGGGUGACAGAG
rnacentral:snRNA from 1 species